AGUAUCGCAUGAUGGUGAACCGCGCAGUGCCAAACAAUCUCUUCUUGGUGCCCUUUCUUUCUUUUUUCUUUUCUUUUUUUUUUUGGUCUUUCAAAGAAAGGUUGACCUCUCUGGAAAUAAGACGUUUGAGACAAGAUUUGAAGGAAGUGAGGGCAUAAGCCGUGCUGGGGCCAGGGGAAGCAUGGCCUGGGCAGCAGAAAUGUGAAGAUGCCAAGGAUCAAGAGGGCAUCUGCUGGUUCUGAGGAACGGUAAAGAGGCCAUUGUGCUCUGAGCUGAGUGAGAUGCAGAGAAUAGAGACAAGCACAGUGCCAUGCAAAGGCAGAGAAGGGAAGGACCAGUGGGGC
rnacentral:lncRNA from 10 species